rnacentral:rRNA from 1 species
AGAGUUGAUCAUGGCUCAGGAUGAACGCUGGCGGCGUGCCUAAUACAUGCAAGUCGAACGAGAGUGCUUGCACUCGAGUGGCGAACGGGUGAGUAACACGUAGGUAACCUGCCUCACAGUUUGGGAUACCCAGAGGAAACUUUGGCUAAUACCGGAUAAUGGUGGAAGGCAUCUCCGACUCUAAAAGGGGCCUUUAAAGCCUCGCUGAGAGAUGGACCUGCGGCGCAUUAGCUAGUUGGUGAGAUAACAGCCCACCAAGGCGAGGAUGCGUAGCCGACCUGAGAGGGUGAACGGCCACACUGGAACUGAGACACGGUCCAGACUCCUACGGGAGGCAGCAGUAGGGAGUUUUCGGCAAUGGGGGGAAACCCUGACCGAGCAACGCCGCGUGAGUGAUGAAGGGUUCCUUCGGAUUGUAAAGCUCUGUUGUAGGGGAAGAACGAUAUGAUGAGGAUAUGCUUCAUAUUUGACGGUACCUUAUUAGAAAGCCACGGCUAACUACGUGCCAGCAGCGGC